AUGCAGGAAAUGUUACAAUACAACUGAAGUGUUUUAUUGUCGUUCCCCCUGCUUACAGCAUAUGAUUCAUACUAUCUCUGUCUAGCUCCAAUUCAUAGUAGGACAGAGACGCUUGGUCUCAAACAG